rnacentral:misc_RNA from 1 species
CAGAGACAUUGCCCUUUGGGGUAGAUCUCCCACCCUUUGUUUACAAUACCUUUGUUGCUUUGGCAGGCCCGUCUUUGGACCACCGGCUUUGGCUGGUCUGUGCCUGCCAGAGGACCCUAAAUUCUUUGAUUUUUGUGUUGUCUGAGUUAUAUCAUAAUAAGUUA